rfam:Paenibacillus swuensis strain DY6, complete genome.
UGGGAAUGUCUCCUAGCCGUUAUCCGCGGAGGCACUCGGCCAUGCUGUGGGUUGAAAUAAACCUUAGACGCCAGUCGUCAAGAGUGUGGUGUGAGGAUGGGUUUAAUGCCCU